ACGGUUCCGGUUCACGUCUCCCCGCUUGCGGGCGACGACCCGGCGACC
ncrna:unclassified sequences L31-Actinobacteria ribosomal protein leader